UACGUAGGGGGCUAGCGUUGUCCGGAAUCAUUGGGCGUAAAGCGCGUGUAGGCGGCCCGGUAAGUCCGCUGUGAAAGUCGGGGGCUCAACCCUCGAAAGCCGGUGGAUACUGUCGGGCUCGAGUACGGAAGAGGCGAGUGGAAUUCCUGGUGUAGCGGUGAAAUGCGCAGAUAUCAGGAGGAACACCAAUUGCGAAGGCAGCUCGCUGGGACGUUACUGACGCUGAGACGCGAAAGCGUGGGGAGCAAACGGG
rnacentral:rRNA from 1 species